GACGAACGCUGGCGGCAUGCCUAACACAUGCAAGUCGAACGAGACCUUCGGGUCUAGUGGCGCACGGGUGCGUAACGCGUGGGAACCUGCCCUUAGGUUCGGAAUAACUCCCCGAAAGGGGUGCUAAUACCGGAUAAUGUCUUCGGACCAAAGAUUUAUCGCCUUUGGAUGUGCCCGCGUUGGAUUAGCUAGUUGGUAGGGUAAAAGCCUACCAAGGCGACGAUCCAUAGCUGGUCUGAGAGGAUGAUCAGCCACACUGGGACUGAGACACGGCCCAGACUCCUACGGGAGGCAGCAGUGGGGAAUAUUGGACAAUGGGCGAAAGCCUGAUCCAGCAAUGCCGGGUGAGUGAUGAAGGCCUUAGGGUUGUAAAGCUCUUUUACCCGGGAUGAUAAUGACAGUACCGGGAGAAUAAGCCCCGGCUAACUCCGUG
rnacentral:rRNA from 1 species